rnacentral:misc_RNA from 1 species
UUGAAUAAACUUGGUCAAGCUGUUGCUGGUCCUUCGGGGCAUGUGCACGCUUGCCACCAAUUUUAACCACCUGUGCACCUCUUGUAGAUUGGAAACGUUUCUCGGGGCAACUCGGAUUGAGGACUGCUGCGCGCAAGCCAGCUGUUCUUGUGUUUCUCAAUCUAUGUUUUCAUAUACUCCUAAUGUAUGUAUCAGAAUGUAUUGUUAGGCCUCAGUGCCUUUAAAUCAAAUA